rnacentral:rRNA from 1 species
GUGCCUAACACAUGCAAGUCGAACGAGAAAGUGGAGCAAUCCAUGAGUAAAGUGGCGACCGGGUGAGUAACACGUGACUAACCUGCCCUAGAGUGGGGAAUAACCUCGGGAAACCGGGGCUAAUACCGCAUAACAUCGCGAGGGGAAGAUCCUUGCGAUCAAAGGAGCAAUUCGCUCAAGGAGGGGGUCGCGGCUGAUUAGUUAGUUGGCGGGGUAACGGCCCACCAAGACGAAGAUCAGUAGCCGGCCUGAGAGGGCGCACGGCCACACUGGAACUGAAACACGGUCCAG